UUACCAAGGCUUGACAUAUACAGGAAUACGGCAGAGAUGUCGUAGCCGCAAGGUCUGUAUACAGGUGGUGCAUGGUUGUCGUCAGCUCGUGUCGUGAGAUGUUGGGUUAAGUCCCGCAACGAGCGCAACCCUCGUUCUGUGUUGCCAGCAUUUAGUUGGGGACUCACAGGAGACUGCCGGGGUUAACUCGGAGGAAGGUGGGGAUGACGUCAAAUCAUCAUGCCCCUUAUGUCUUGGGCUGCACGCAUGCUACAAUGGCUGGUACAAACGGCUGCGAUACCGCAAGGUGGAGCGAAUCCGAGAAAGCCAGUCUCAGUUCGGAUUGGGGUCUGCAACUCGACCCCAUGAAGUCGGAGUUGCUAGUAAUCGUAGAUCAGCAACGCUACGGUGAUACGUUCCCGGGGCUUGUACACACCGCCCGUCACAUCACGAAAGUCGGUAACACCACAAAGUCAGUGGCCCAACCGCAAGGAGGGAGCUGCCAAAGGU
rnacentral:rRNA from 1 species